rnacentral:rRNA from 1 species
UACGUAGGGGGCGAGCGUUGUCCGGAUUUAUUGGGCGUAAAACGCUUGUAGGCGGCCACGCCAAGUCGGAUGUGAAAUCUCCCGGCUUAACUGGGAGGGGUCAUCCGAUACUGGCGGGCUCGAGGCAGGUAGGGGGAAGCGGAAUUCCCGGUGUAGUGGUGGAAUGCGUAGAUAUCGGGAGGAACACCAGUGGCGAAGGCGGCUUCCUGGACCUGUUCUGACGCUGAGGAACGAAAGCGUGGGGAGCGAUCCGG